CUACGGGUUGCUGCAGUGGGGAAUAUUGCACAAUGGGGGAAACCCUGAUGCAGCGACGCCGCGUGAGUGAAGAAGUAUUUCGGUAUGUAAAGCUCUAUCAGCAGGGAAGAAAAUGACGGUACCUGACUAAGAAGCCCCGGCUAACUACGUGCCAGCAGCCGCGGUAAUACGUAGGGGGCAAGCGUUAUCCGGAUUUACUGGGUGUAAAGGGAGCGUAGACGGUGAGACAAGUCUGAAGUGAAAUCCCGGGGCUCAACCCCGGAACUGCUUUGGAAACUGCCUGACUGGAGUGCAGGAGAGGUAAGUGGAAUUCCUAGUGUAGCGGUGAAAUGCGUAGAUAUUAGGAGGAACACCAGUGGCGAAGGCGGCUUACUGGACUGUAACUGACGUUGAGGCUCGAAAGCGUGGGGAGCAAACAGGAUUAGAUACCCUGGUAGUC
rnacentral:rRNA from 1 species